rnacentral:misc_RNA from 1 species
GAUGAAGAACGUAGCGAAAUGCGAUAAGUAAUGUGAAUUGCAGAAUUCAGUGAAUCAUCGAAUCUUUGAACGCACAUUGCGCCCGCCAGUAUUCUGGCGGGCGUGCCUGUUCGAGCGUCAUUUCAACCAUCAAGCCCCAGGCUUGUGUUGGGGACCUGCGGCUGCCGCAGGCCCUGAAAACCAGUGGCGGGCUCGCUGUCACACCGGGCGUAGUAGAUUUUAUCUCGCUCAGGGCGUGCUGCGGGUUCCGGCCGUUAAAAAGCCUUUUUUACCCAAGGUUGACCUCGGAUCAGGUAGGAAGACCCGCUGAACUUAAGCAUAUCAAUAAGCGGAGGA